GUGCUCACUUCAGCAACACAUACGCUAAAUUAGAAUGAUACAGAGAAGAUUAGCAAGGCCCAGUGCAUGGAUGACAUGCCAAUUGGUGAAGUGUUCCAUUAAAAA